GAAAUCACAAGUGAAACUGCUACAGCGGCUUUAAGGAGGAGCGUCCACCUGUUCUCAGCCUUGCAGGCCGGUGAUGGCCAUUGGUGUGCAGAAAAUGGAGGGCUACUGUUCUUUUUGCCUCCUUUGGUUUUUUCUCUGUACAUUACAGGACAUCUUAAUGAUGUGUUUUCUGCAGAGCAUCGGAAAGAGAUGUUGCGUUACAUAU
rnacentral:misc_RNA from 1 species